UACGUAGGGGGCAAGCGUUGUCCGGAUUUAUUGGGCGUAAAGCGCGUGUAGGCGGCCAAACAGGUCAGCUGUGAAAACUCGAGGCUCAACCUCGAGACGUCGGUUGAAACCGUUUGGCUAGAGUCCGGAAGAGGAGAGUGGAAUUCCCGGUGUAGCGGUGAAAUGCGCAGAUAUCGGGAAGAACACCGAUGGCGAAGGCAGCUCUCUGGGACGGUACUGACGCUGAGACGCGAAAGCGUGGGGAGCGAACAGG
rnacentral:rRNA from 1 species